rnacentral:lncRNA from 1 species
CUCCUCACCUACACAGUGGGAGGCUAUUUUAGCUUCCAAUCCAGGAGUAGAGCCUCAACACCAUUUUUGCGUAUGCUACUUCAUCCACUAGUUGACUUCUUUGACUUUCCCAAGCCUCUUAAACAAGCAACUGGAGAAGAAAGCUAUUUCUUAUACAUUGUAUAAAUUUAACAUUGGAAGAAAAUUACUCCAAUAAAUAAAAAACAACAAACCAACACCAACCAACUACUUGGGCUGGAAUGACUUCACCAACUGUUCUUUCUACGAGCAGCCACUUGCACGCUAUCUAUUCGUAACUUAGUUACGAAAGGUAACUUUUACUGACAGUUGCAAAAAACGGGUCAAACCUGUCCAUUCUAAGCACCACGCGGAGUGGCACAAAGAAAUCGUUGUUCUAACAUUUUUGUCUCAGAAUCCUGCGCCCAUCCUGAGCGCCCACUGGGGCACGGUGCGCUAUCGCCUGCAUUGCUUUCAAACGUUUUGAAAACUUUCCCGCGCUUCUUAUCCUGACCAGGCAGCAAGUUGGCGGCUCUAACGGCUCGGGCGGGCAUGGCGCAACAGGACGUUCAGGAGACUUCAGAGGCACAGCACAAAGACAGAGCAAAAUAUGUCGUGCACACGGAGGAUGUGAACAGAGCCCAGAGCAACCGAGAUGUGCGCACGGAAACCUGUUGAGAAGAGCUCUAGUUUUGAGCAGGUAUCGGGCACUUGGAAGUUGGGUGUGCAGUCACACCUCCCAAGGAUGGGAGAAGUUUGGUUACAUGAGGAGGUGGAAAAAUGGAAUCAGUCACACGUAGCUUUGGUCCCCUGAAGCUCAGUUCACGAAGAGGGAUGAGCACACGUGCCAGGUAGCUGUGCCGCGCUGUGAGUCGGGGCGGCUGCUGCAGGAAUGGCUCUGCAAAAGGCCCAGGCCCGUGUUCCGAGCCCCGUGCCGGUGACAGCCGCUCUGCCUCAGCAGCCUGCUGCGGGAAGCACGAGAAAGCACCGAACCUCCCCACGGAGCGGCCGAACCGGGCCGAGAUGCGAGACAAGAAAGCGGGAGCGGGCACUUCUCGGCCAAGUUCUGAUGCUGUCCGUUGUUCCCAGGCGGAGAAAAGCCGCCUCUCUUCCCAUCGGCGCAAAGCGGCCCCGCAGCGCCCGGCAGCAGCCCCCAUCCCGCAGUGCUCAACAGUCAGCCCGCCGCCCGCCGCCGACUCACCGAGCUGGAGCUGCUCGCAACUCCCGCGGGGAUUGCUCCCGAUCCGGCAGCGGAAGAUGGCCCCAGGGCUGAUCACGGAACUGUUGGCGGCCCAGCUGGCCUGCGGGGCGCCCACCACGAGCCAGCGCUCCUCGCCGUGGCCCAUCAGGAGAACCGAGUAGCCGAAGAACGUGCCGUUAUCCCCGCGGAAGAGCAGCGGGUGCCGGGUGUCCACGUUGUAGGUCCGCGCCGUCGGCAGACACUGCCACAGCAGCAACAGCGGGGCGGCCCAGCGCGCAGCCCGCCCGCAGCUCCUCAUGGCUCCGGCCGGCACCGGGCAGACGGGCGCCCUCCUUCACGCUCCGCUCGGGGAGGGAGGGAGGCGGCCCCGCCCUGCCCUGCUCCGUACCCUGCCCCGGACGGGGCGGCCCGCGCCCCUAACAGCGACCGCUGCCGGCGGGGCGAGCGGGGAGCUGCGGUGUGCGCGGUGCUGGGCGCUUUCGGGAGGGGACGACUCCACCGCGCCGCUUUCUGCCGCGCCGCAGCAACCCCAUUGCCGUCUCAGGCUCGAGGUCGGGUUUCUCCCCGCCCCGUCCGCGCCCGGCGGUGCCGGAACGGCACGGUCUGGGGGGCUCCCCCGGGGGGGCUCGGCUUGCCGGACCUCGCACGGCGGGGCCGUCAGUCCUCACACCUGCCCGGCGGGCGGCGUGGGUGAGCCGUCUGGGCGCGGUAUGGCGGCGGUGGGUCCGGCAGAGCAGGGCCUUGCCCGAAAUGCCCGCCGGCAUUCCUGCCCGCUGCUUUCGACGUGCCCGAGGCGUGCUGGAUUCCAUUGGCUGGAUCCCCUGAGCGCGUCUCCCCCGAGUCCCAGCAGGGAAACCCCAGCCAAGCUGCAGGGAAACUAUGUGGUCAGAUUUGCAUUUUCCUUUUAAAACGGAUUAAUCCCAGAAUCUGUUCUGUUAGAUUUGCUGCACCUCAGCUGUCAUACCGAAGGGGCAUUCCUGGCCACCCUGCCAUGGCUGGGGAUAUCUGAGUCCUCAGCCCCUUCCUGCCCACGUAAGAGACCGCUCCCAGCUGAUGACUUCCUUCUGAGGGGGAUGAAGUCAGAACAACUUUACUCACAUUUUAAAAUGACUUUUACAUUCAUGUUCAGUUCUUUCUGUGAGUUGCUUGCAAAGUUAUUAGCCAGCCUGCUGGACCGCACAGGAGUGGAAAAAAAACAACAAACCCAAGCAUUGCACAGGAGGUUGAAUGCUUAUCAGAUAGCAAGAUAGCAAGGCUUCCUUGAUCUUAGCAAGAGGCUUUGCUGUUUGUGUUUCGAUUUACCUCAUGCUGAAUUGUUGAAAUCAAGGCUGUCACCUCUGCCAGCAAACCUUGCCUCAGAGUCCCUUGAAUACCAGGGCUUCCUGUUGCUGCAGCAGUCUGGUAACAGAGUGAAGCCCAAUGCAAUUUUGAGUUAAAGGAACAAAAACUCUUCAAAAUUUAAUGUUUAGUUGCAAAGAUUACUACUUGGAGCUGGGAGAUAAAUCCAUUCUGAUUUCCGCUGGUGAAUAUUCCACACGUUAGAAAUAAGCGUGAGAUGGUGGCGUACCAUUCUCUAAUGGAAAUUCAGAACAUGACAUUUUAAGCUGCUUGAAAUAAAAAAGAAACCCUCUCAUUCCCAUUCAGCUGGUGGAGGUGUGAAAAACGUAAGCCCUCUGCUAAAUACUGAGCAGUUACCAGAGUGGGACGUUGAGGCAAUGCAGGAUCAAUAUAUCUCAUCUUCCUAAGCGCAUUCAGGUGUGUAGCUCCUGGAAUGAGAUCAGUGCACUGCAAGGUCUGACAGUCAGUCAACUCUCUCUGUUCUUUUUAAAGUUCUGAUCUUUAGAACAAUCACAGGGCUUCCCUGGGAAAUACUGAUGCGGGGCAGUGACUGUUUCGUGUAAAGGAGUUAAACAACCCCUCAGCUGCUAUUCAUCUUCUUUCCAACUGCUUACAUCAAAGGAGCUAUGACAAUCAACAGCAGCUGUGAAUCUGCAUUUCUACCAGGCAAGUUUUCACUGUCAUUCUGAAAGCAACAAAACAAGCAUGAUUCAAAUCCAAAAUGCUAAAUUGUGGUUUAAUUGGUGGGAAACCAUAACAUCAUUUCAUCACUGCCUGACCCCAUAGUCAGUUUUCAGGGACUUUCAGGCUUUUCUCUGAGAGAUCAUUACAAUUCUUGAGUUUGUUUCUUAGUCACAAAAAUCACCAAGAAGCUCUAUCCCUUGAAUGCCAGAGAAGGGGAGAGCAAUUUCUCAGCCUCCUUUUGGCUGGCAAUUGUAUGGCCCAGGCGUAUCUGUCCUUUCUUCUCUCUCUCAAGACCAAUUUUAAGUCUAUCAUUUUGCACAUAGUUGAUGCAGGAACCAAGUGAGUGCAACUAGGCAGUUUCCUUGCAGCUGUGUUUCUAUCCAUUUGGGGGAAUUGCAGAAUUGUAGGGGUUGCAAGGGACCACUGAAGAUAAUCUAGUUCAAACCCCUGCUAAAGCAGGUUCCCUACAGUAAGUUGCCCAGGAAAGCAUCUGGUUGGGUUGUCGUUUGAGUAUCUCCAGAGAAGGAACCGCAACUUCUUCCACACCUCAACCGCAACCUCUUCCGCACUACCCCUUUUUUAGGUGGCCUUUUCCUCACGGUUGUCACUGGAGCUUAUCAACAAGUGUCAUACAGACAAGGGAUAAACGUACACAAGUUGUUUGCAGAAUUCAGAGAUGAAUUAAUCUUUUGAAACUUGUAUGUUUGAGAGAGUCUGGGGAAAAAGAAAUGCAGCUGAAAUUUAUAGUGAUUUUGUAGAACCUCCAGUCUAGUGGUCCCUGGACUGCUACAGAGGGUACGGAGCUGGCACAGAUGCUAGCUGACAAGAAGAGGUAGAUCCUGAAGCUGUGGUCUUCAGCUGUUAGCACAUAAAUAGCUGCUUACUUGAAGCAGAUAAGAACUGUGUUAUACUUUCCUUGUCAGGAAGAAAUGUGUCCAUUGUUUCUUAGAUUGUAUUAGAGUAGAUGCAGUCGCUAUCCAUCAUUGAAGUCUGUGGAAUUACAUAAAUCUUCUGGAGUAUCAGAAACCAAUAUUCUGAGAAAUACCUGAAGUAUUCAGCACCAAUCAUGUGUAUGGCCAGGAGAGCACAAAAUCUCAAAGCAAAACUGACAAAAUGGUGUAAUAGAGAGAAAACUUGAGUUUUAAGGAUUCUGAAAACUUUGCAGAAAAGAUAGAACCAACGCUGGAAGCUAAGUACCUGUAGUUACAGAGAAAAUACAUAUUUAUAUUUUCUUCACAAAUACGGAUACUGAAAUCACCCUGAAAUAAUGAAAAUAAAUCAUUCCCAAAAUAACCUUGCCAGUAUGCAAUCUCAACAGAAUAUCUCCUGCAGUAUUCUGUGAUUAAACACUAGAGCAAAAUGUCAUGGUGAUUUGCUCUUCUGCUUGUUGCUGGUUCACCAUCUAAGGCAAUUUCAAUGAAGCUCUUGGGAUGGCUUGUUACGUGAGAAAGUAUAUUAGGCCAUAGUUUGGCAAUUGUAUUUUAUAGCAGAUGUGUGCACUUCAUCUGAUUCUCCUCAUCUUUUGCUGCUCAUUCUUGAAUCAUGCUGCUGUCUCUGUGACACUGCUAUGUAUCUGAGCAGUGAACAAGAUGAGAAAAGUGUUCUGGGUUAAAAACCCAGCUACACCCCCAGAUGUAGAUCAGUGCAUAUAUUGUGUGACUGGCCAGUUGUACUGGGUGUGCCAGUAAGGUGGUUUAGGCCAGUUCCCCAGCUCAUGGGGCUGUAUCAGUAAGUGGCAAGAAUCUGAAAAGCUAAAGGCUGAAGUCUAUCCAUCUAAUUCCAUAAAAUGGAAAUAAAAAUCCAUUUCCCCAGUACUGAGUGAGCUGGAGUUCAGACAUCUUAGCCCAAAUAUUAUUCUGCCUGUGCCCUGAGGUGCCUGGCUUACAAAAGUUAUAUUGGAGUAAGCCUGAUUUACUGAUGCCAUAAAUGUCAGCAUACAAUAUCAUGUGAGCGAGGUAACUUAAGUUUGUAUGUGCUCCUUCAGGUUUCAGUAUUCCACAUGUAAUUAUGAACACUGAAUAUUCCUGGAGAAGUUUGUUGAUGUUGGUGGGAAGAAUGUGAGCAUAACCAGAACAGGCCAUAUCACCUCUGCCGUGUACAUCAGCAGUUAGAUUUAGACAAAUGUAGGUACAAAGAAGUAAGCACGAUUUGCUGAUGUAAACCAGAACAUAUAUUCAUAAGCAGAACUGUCAAUAUCUGGAGUCACUGUACACGUACUUGGCAGAGGUUAGAUAACAACAAAUACCAAAUACCACUGUAAAACUGCCUGGGUGAAGCUAAGCAUCUACUGCACAACAGAGUGAAGUUGCUCAGACACUACGCAACAGAAGUGAGGUUACUAUUUGGCAACACUUCUGGCACUCUGCUUCUGGGCUUUUCAUCCUGGAUGCUAAGGGAGAUUAGCCUUUUGGAAGGCACAUUUGAGAAUUCUGUUUGUAACCCAACUGAACGGUAUAAAAAUACAGCUUUCAAUGGAAAAUAUGUUUAUUAUGUAAUCUUAGAAACCCUUCUUUCCCCGGGCUCCUAGGUUCCACAGGAUGUAAUAAUUAGACUUUUAACAGAUCACCCAUUUUAUCUCUCCUGUUCAGCUAGAGCCCUUCUAAUCCACGGGUACCAGUUGUCUUUCUUUGAGAUGGUCUGAUACUUAUUGAAGUCUGUGGUUUUCCUCAUCUUGAAUUUAAUUUUGAAAUUUGUUUCCAGUUCUGAAGACCUUGAUCCCCGAAAGCCAAUCUACUUUUUCCAGCUGUAAUUGUUUGUCUACAAAAUGUAAUUUCUCAACUUUAUAAACCUUGUCUCCACAAAGCCCUAUGAUAAUCAGGGCUAUGCUAUGACUAUAAUAAUCUAUGAACAUAGAAUCAAAAUAAUGAUGCAGAUUUUUAAAGACAGAGUUGAGUGAAGUGCAUUAAGGCAUUAAUGCUGAAGUCUGUAAAAAGAAAGUAAUUUUUAAAUAAGAAUAUGCAUAAAUAAGAGCUUAUAAGAAAUCAUACGCUAGAGGCAGUGCUUGUGACAAGGUGCUGGGAUGUUAACUAAUUACCAACCUUUUCCAGCCACUUGUGUCUCUCCAGAAGAUAUUGUUUUGCACAGCAUUACUCACUGGUAUUUCUUCUCUUUCCUCCAUAAGGCUUUUAGAACCCUAGGAUGGUUUAUUUGGAGUACUUUUUGGAUAAUUGAAAGCUGUUCCACAGAGUAGCUUUUGAGGAACAUUCUGAAGCCCAAGCCAUAGGAAAUCAACAGAUAAGACUUCACAUAGCUGUUGCUUGAUCAGCCAGGGAUCCCACAUGCUUUUGGCUGUGUUCUGAGAACUAAGAAACUUCCGGUAGGAGAUUUCUGCAAACAUGUGAGUAACUUUUGUUAGAAAAUAUGAUGUUUUCAUUUUUUCAGAUGGCUCAUUUCCUGAGUUCAAAGAGGUCUCAAGCACCGAGAAGCCUCAUGGUCUACAAUAAGAGAGGAAUAUUGUGGUAGUAACUCCUAUGUUACUUCAUUGGAAAACGCUGUUGGAAGAACUUAUGAAUGUCUGUUAUUAGCUUUCUUUUGUGUAACCUGUACCACUCCCCCUCCUUCCCCCCCCCCUAAUUUGGGAGGCAUUUGGCUUAAAUUAAGUUCCCUGUAUGGGCUGAACUUGAGUAACUGAUCACAUGAGCAUUUUCACUGUGUUGCAAAUAGGGGUUAAAGCACACAUUCCUAGAAGUCUUCAUGAAUAUGCCUGCUUCCAGCUGUGUCUGUCCUUGUUCUCCUUUGUUUUGCAUACUCUGUCUCUGCUUUUGGAGGAGUGUCACCAGAUCUACUCUCAAUUAGAAAUAAAAAUGUUCAGCUGUUCCAAGUUAGAAAAAUUUGGAAGUGCCAUUUUGAAAUUAUCAAACUACUUACAUAUUGUUAUUUCAAACUGUAUAUUUCUAAGCCUGUAACAAGGACAAUUUAGAGUUUUGGUCAAUAUUUUCUGUUUUUCCAUAAUUUGUUUUUCUACAAUGGCAGUGGACAAAAAAAAUCUAAUGUUCAUUUGCAGCCACUUGAGAAGUUAUAGAAGGCAAAUAUACUGUUACACUUUUCCAUAAGAUUCUCUUCAAGAAACUUCAUCUUUCUUCUGCAGUAAAAUAUGCGUGCUUGAAUGAAAAGGAUAUAUUGUCCACUGACAAGUAUAAUUAAGCACAGAUGUUUGAGGCACCAAAUAGCAACUCAUAUUAGCAAAGGUCUUAAUUUUUAUCAUUUUGCUCGUGUUCUCUUUAGAGAGUUUCAUUUAGAAUCAGUUAAAGAGGAAGCAGCUUUUCAUUUAAUUGACAAAUAGCGUUUUCACAAUCAUACAUCUUUUCAGGGAACAUUUUUGAGACCCUUUUUUCUUCCUAUGAGCAGUUGGUUGGUGAAGUAAAAGACAAGUUCUCCAGAAUAACUUUUUAGUAUUUAAUGGUGUGGUACGUGCAGUGGCUAUGGCAUCCUGACUACCAGAAGCAAAUAAUAGAUCAUCAUAAUCAGAAGCAGAUGUGUACGUGUGAUAAAUUCAUUGCAUAUCCUCUUUUUAUUUUUUUCUUUAGAAUUUCUUUCUAACAUUGCUGAGUUCCCAGAUCUGGGCCAACUAUAAAUAGUGAGAAGUCUCUGUGUCAUCCACUGCAAAAGUAUGGAUCAUCACAAUUGUGGCAUUUUUCAUUAUUUUCACCUUUUAAGGAAGUAUUUUAGGUUUGAUGCAGUUAUUUUGUCAUGAGAAGUAAAUAUGUUUGUUCAGAGAUUUUUGACAUAAAGGGUUUUUUUUUUUUUCAUUCUUAUAUUCAAAAUGAACAUGUUUUUUAUUCAGCCCCUUCCUGUAAUUAAUUCCUAUUACAACCUUAUGAUCUCUCCAAAAAAUGAUUCUCAACCACUUUUUGAAACUGCAAGUUUCCAGUUUUUACAUGUUUCUGUUCUUCUGUAUGUUCCAUGACUUUGCUGGCAAGACUGGGUGCAGUGGGAAAAGGAGAGAAUUCAAAAGAACUUUGAUAGCAGCAAAGCAGCUUUAAGAUAAUGAUCUGUUUCUUCUGCUGAGCAAGAAAAAUACCUAAAUACAUAAUUUUUGGUGAUUUAACCAAAGGACAUAUUAGUUUUGCUGGCAGCAAGCAUCAAUUCUAUAUUAAAGUUACUCAGAAAAGAAUUAAUACAAUAUUUAUCAUCACUUGAUCAAAAUCACUUGGUUAUAUCUUAGGUUCCAUUUGUAUCAGCCUUUGAGUACACACACACGUCAGUAUAGUGAGACUGUCCUGUUACAAGGAUUGCCUUUGUAGUUGUAACUUCCUAAAGAUGUCCAUUCAAGAAUAUUCAAAUGGCUGAAUAUUUUGAAGAGAAUGGAAGUGACCUAUGGUGUUUUUUUCUCCCCUCUUUCUCUCACUUGUAUUUGUGACAGAAAUAGGCAUGAUAAAUGAUUAGCAACAGCUGGACAGUUAGUACUAGAGUCUGUGGGUCUGCUGAGCCUGAAAGCCUUCGGCUCCACAGGAAAUAUGAGCACUAUGGAAACAGCUCCCAAAUUAUGGAGGUUUUGGUUGCAUGUCUUUCACCAACUGGAGGGUAUUCUUUCAAACAGUGACAACGGCUGUGUUUCAAAUAAGAGACAAACUCAGGACCACCUUCUUUCUAAAACAAAAUAAAUCAGCUGUUGGAAGAGGACUGUUGAAGAGAAACAUCUGGAGGAAAUGCCACUCUGGUUUCAGACUUGCUUUUGGAAUACCCUAACAUACAUCUUCCAGGAUAUGAUACUGUGUUUCAUCAGACAACAUCACAAUGAGAUCAUACAUCUGAAUAUGGACUGCAGGCUAGCUUUAUGAAGCAUGGUGAUUGCUAUGUCCGAUUCUGUUUCCUGAGUGAGUAAAUCAGGAAUAUUUCUCAUCCAAUCAUGAGAAAUUGGAUCAUUACUUUGAUGUUAGAAUGGAAUCCUAGAUUAGUACAAAAAUGAUUAGUUCACAAACUCUGAAUUUAUGUGAGGGUAGAAGACAACAUCUGUAACCAGAAGCAGUUCUGAGAUAUCAACAGAGUUGCAAAGACAAACUACAACUAAAUCCAGUACAGAAUUAAGGUGAGAAAAAUUUAUGGUACAAAACAGUGAAAAUGCCAUGAUUUUGUGGAGCCAUCUGUAAUCUGAGACUGUGGACUGCUACAGAGGAGAGCAAAUAACAAGACUGAUCUGUCUUCACAUGUACCUGUUAAUAUUUUCUAGUGCUCCUUCCACAUAUGCUCUUAGCGUGAAUACAAAAUAUAUCCAUUCCUCAUAAUACAUCUUCAUGAAUUUAUCAGCCUUUUUAAGAAUUCGAGAGAAUAAAUAACUUUCUGGCAAAUUCUCAGAUCUCUCAUUGUUAAAAUGUUGACCUAAAAUGUCAUUGAUACCGACAUAAUCUUCAUAAUUAGUUACUUGGUAGCUGCGUAUCUAUGAUUUCGUAGCAGUCGGGUCUGAUACAAGUUAAGACAUUUGUAUUUUAAAGAAUUUCUUUUGCUUUUGGUAUAUGUAGAGCUUGCAGCAACAUGACCAUCUGAAUGUUAUCAUCGUAUAGUUUGCAAGGAGGUUUUUUUUAAAGUUAUAGCUACAUGAAGAAGGAAUAUUCAGACUAGGCAGAACACAGAGUAUGUAGGGAAUAUAUUACUACGAAUUCCUCCAAUUAAAGGUAAAUGUAUCUGUCCUUGUUCCUGGAUUUUGCUGAAAUAUGUUACAUCUAUUCACCUGCCUUCUUCUGUAUAGUGAUAUGUGUAAUAGGUAUCAUAAGCAAUUAGUUGCAAAUUGUUGCUAUAAGAUCUGCAGUGAAAUGAAACAAUCUGUUGCUGUCCUACUUAGAGAUGUUUCUGUGAGUUAUCUUGGCUCUGUUUUAGAGUAGUGUGUGUAAGAGAUUUAGUAUUUUCUUUUUUAAGGCUUUGAUUUUGACAUUACCUAAU